CUAUGGCAACCGGAAUACUUGCAUGGAACUUGGUGUUUUGAAAAUAUAAAAAGGCUGUGCUUCAAUAUCAUAUUUUCCACCAAGACCAGGAAUGAAAAUUGCUGAAAACAGCUAUCCAUCUUGAAAGGAAGAAAACAUUAUCACCAAGCAUUUUAAAGGAAAAUUCAGAUGGGUUUUCAUAAUGGCUUUGCCAUUCUGUGUCCCAGAUGUUCCUCAGCUUGGGCAGAGGGCCAUUCCAUGAAGGCCCACCUAGGACACCUUUUGGUAACAGCAUCCUCUUAGUAGGGUCUUCCCAGAGGACAGCUUUGCGUGCACAGAGAAGAGAAGAAAAUGCAGAAUACAUCAUGAGUGCUCUUGCACAAGAAGAAGCCUGCCAAAAAUCUAUGGUUCUGGGAAUUCCUGAGCUGAGAGAUGCUUCUGGGUGACCGUGUUUAAUAGCCACUGGAGAACCCAGCUAAAGCUUCUACAUCACCUUAGCAAGAAGUUCCACUGUACAAUAGUGUACACUUUUUACCAAGAUUCAAAGAUUUCUUACUGCUGUCAUUUUAUGUAGGUCACUCAAAAGGUAACACUUCCUAUUUAUUUCCAAAGAAACUACAACAGAUACAAAGAGCGCAGUAGCACUACUUGAUAGAGAAAAUUCUGAGCUACAAAACACUAUUUUUCAACAUAGUUG
rnacentral:lncRNA from 1 species